UACAGGGGGGGCAAGCGUUGUUCGGAAUUACUGGGCGUAAAGGGUUUGUAGGUGGCCACUUAAGUCAGACGUGAAAUCCCUCAGCUUAACUGGGGAACUGCGUCCGAUACUGGAUGGCUUGGAUUUGGGAGAGGGAUGCGGAAUUCCAGGUGUAGCGGUGAAAUGCGCAGAUAUCAGGAGGAACACCGGUGGCGAAGGCGGGUCUCUGGGCCGAUACUGACGCUGAGGAGCGAAAGCGUGGGGAGCGAACAGG
rnacentral:rRNA from 1 species